rnacentral:rRNA from 1 species
GAUGACCGCUGGCGGCUUGCCUAAUACAUGCAAGUCGAGCGGCGCGGGGACGGGUGAGUAACACGUGGAUAACCUCCUAUAAGACUGGGAUCACUUCGGGGAACCAGAGCUAAACCAGAUACUUACAGAUGGAUCCGUCCUGCCUUGGCUAUUUGGUAAGGUCCCGGCUUACCAAGGCAACGAUGCAUAGCCGACCUGAGAGGGUGACAGGCCAAACUGGAACUUAGACACGGUCCAGACUCCUAAGGGAGGCAGCAGUGGGGAAUCUUCCGCAAUGGGCGCAAGCCUGACGGAGCAACGCCGCGGGAGUGAUGAAGGCCUCCGGAUCGUAAAGCGCUGUUAGAAGGGAGGCGGUACCUAAUCAGAAAGCGACGGCUGACUACGGGCCAGCAGCCGCGGUAAUUC